UACGUAGGGUGCGAGCGUUAAUCGGAAUUACUGGGCGUAAAGCGUGCGCAGGCGGUUUUGUAAGCCAGAUGUGAAAUCCCCGGGCUCAACCUGGGAAUGGCAUUGGAUACUGGCUCGCUGGAGUGCGGUAGAGGGUGGUGGAAUUCCCGGUGUAGCAGCGAAAUGCGUAGAGAUCGGGAGGAACAUCUGUGGCGAAGGCGGCCACCUGGACCAGCACUGACACUGAGGCACGAAAGCGUGGGGAGCAAACAGG
rnacentral:rRNA from 1 species